UACAGAGGGUGCGAGCGUUAAUCGGAAUUACUGGGCGUAAAGCGUGCGUAGACGGCUAACUAAGUCGGGUGUGAAAGCCCCGGGCUCAACCUGGGAAUUGCAUUCGAGACUGAAUAGCUAGGGUACGGUAGAGGGAAGCGGAAUUUCCGGUGUAGCGGUGAAAUGCGUAGAUAUCGGAAGGAACAUCAGUGGCGAAAGCGGCUUCCUGGACCAGUACCGACGUUCAGGCACGAAAGCGUGGGGAGCAAACAGG
rnacentral:rRNA from 1 species